AUGCCCAAGUUUUAUUGUGACUACUGUGAUACAUAUCUUACCCACAAUUCUCCGUCUGUGAGGAAGACACACUGCAGUGGUCGGAAACACAAAGAGAAUGUAAAAGACUAUUACCAGAAAUGGAUGGAAGAGCAGGCCCAGAGCCUGAUUGACAAGACAACGGCUGCAUUUCAACAAGGGAAGAUCCCUCCGCUCCGUUCUCUGCUCCUCUGCCUGCAGGGGCCAUGAUCCCACCUCCCCCCAGUCUCCCUGGCCCUCCUCAGCCUGGCAUGAUGCCUGCGUCCCACAUGGGAGGCCCUCCCAUGAUGCCAAUGAUGGGCCCCCCUCCGUCCAGAAUGAUGCCCGUGGGACCAGCUCCUGGGAUGAGACCACCCAUGGGAGGCCACAUGCCCAUGAUGCCCGGGCCUCCCAUGAUGAGACCUCCUGCCCGCCCUAAGAUGGUGCCCACCCGGCCUGGCAUGACCCGGCCAGACAGAUAA
rnacentral:lncRNA from 1 species